UUGCACCUUGUAUCGAAGGACAUGCCUCGUUCUGAUGGCAUGGCCAUUUUCGAGGAUGCGUAAAGGAAUAGCUGUUAAUUCAGUAAGCGGCCAGACAACCGUUGGGAUAGAUCCACAGUUGUUGCGGUUUUUCUCUCCGCUCUCAACUACUAAAUCUUUCCCACAUUU
rfam:Arabidopsis thaliana chromosome 1, complete sequence.